rnacentral:rRNA from 1 species
UACGGAGGGGGCUAGCGUUGUUCGGAAUUACUGGGCGUAAAGCGCACGUAGGCGGCUUUGUAAGUUAGAGGUGUAAGCCCAGAGCUCAACUCUGGAACUGCCUUUAAGACUGCAUCGCUUGAAUUGUGGAGAGGUAAGUGGAAUUCCGAGUGUAGAGGUGAAAUUCGUAGAUAUUCGGAAGAACACCAGUGGCGAAGGCGACUUACUGGACACAUAUUGACGCUGAGGUGCGAAAGCGUGGGGAGCAAACAGG